CUAAGGGCAUGCGGUGAAUGCCUUGGCACUUAAAGACGAUGAAGGACGUGAAAAGCUGCGAUAAGCAACGGUGAGGAGCACAUAUCCAUUGACCCGUUGAUCUCCGAAUGGGGGAACCCUAUAUACUACUGCUUGAAUACAUAGAGCAGAAAGAGUCAACUCAGGGAAGUGAACCAUCUCAGUACCUGAAGGAAAAGAAAACAACAGUGAUUCCGUAAGUAGCGGCGAGCGAACGCGGAACAGCCUAAACCAGUGGGGCUUGCUCCAUUGGGGUCGUGGGACCAGAUAUGACGGCAGUCGAAGAUUAGCGGAAGUGUGUGGAAAAGCACUCCAUAGAACGUGAUAGACGUGUACGCGAAAAUUCAAGACUGUUAUUCUGGCACCCGAGUAAUGCGGGACACGAGGAAUCUUGCAUGAAUUUGCCGGGACCAUCCGGUAAGGCUAAAUACUCUUAAGUGACCGAUAGUGAACCAGUACCGUGAGGGAAAGGUGAAAAGAACCCCGGUGAGGGGAGUGAAAUAGUACCUGAAACCGCAUGCUUACAAGCAGUCGGAGCGCCUUCGGGCGUGACGGCGUGCCUUUUGCAUAAUGAGCCGGCUAGUAAAUGUCACAGGCAAGGUUAAGGGAUAACCAAGCCGAAGCGAAAGCGAGUCUUAAUAGGGCGUUUAGUCUGUGGUAUUUGGACGUGAAACGGGAUGAUCUAGGCAUGGGCAGGAUGAAGCGUGGGUAACACCACGUGGAGGUCCGAACCAGUUAAGGUUGAAAACUUUUUGGAUGACCUGUGCCUAGGGGUGAAAGGCUAAUCAAAUUCCGUGAUAGCUCGUUCUCGCCGAAAUAUCUUUAGGGAUAGCCUCGGAUUUAUCAUUGUGGUGGUAGAGCACUGACUGGACUAGGGGCCUCACAAGGUUACCGAAUUCAAUCAAACUCCGAAUGCCAUAAAUGACUGUCCGGGAGUCAGACUGCGGGUGCUAAGAUUCGUAGUCGAGAGGGAAAGAGCCCAGAUCAACAGCUAAGGUCCCAAAAUCAUAGUUAAGUGGAAAAGGAAGUGGGGAAGCACUGACAGCCAGGAGGUUUGCUUAGAAGCAGCAAUCCUUUAAAGAAAGCGUAAUAGCUCACUGGUCAAGUAGCCCUGCACCGACAAUAUAACGGGGCUUAAACUAUGUACCGAAGCUUUGAAUGUAUUUAUACAUGGUAGGCGAGCAUUCUGUAGCUGUGAAGCGGUUCCGUAAGGUCCGUUGGAGCGAUCAGAAAAGACUUUGUCGGCAUUAGUAGCGAUAACGUAUGUGAGAACCAUACGCACCGAAAACCUAAGGUUUCCUGCGUCAAGUUAAUCUGCGCAGGGUUAGUCUGUACCUAAGGCGAGGCCGAAAGGCGUAGUCGAUGGAGAUCCGGUUAAUAUUCCGGAACCAUGGGUAUGUGAUGUGGGUUGACGCAACAGGGUAGGCAAGACAGCUGAUGGAUGCUGUUGAAGUAAAUAGGCCGUCGUUUAGGCAAAUCCGGACGACACAAGGCUAAAUAUACGGACGAAAGUACGGACCCUCGGGUCCGGAACAAGUUGCUGACCCCAGUUGCCAAGAAAAUUCCCGUUCAUCUAUACAUACUCCACUGGCAGUACCGCAAACCGACACAGGUAGGUGGGAUGAGAAUUCUAAGGUGCUUGUGAGAACCCUCGUUCAGGAACUCGGCAAAAUGUAACCGUAACUUCGGGAGAAGGUUAGCCGUGUUCACCAAGAACACGGUCGCAGAGAAAUGUUUCAGGCGACUGUUUAACAAAAACACAGGUCUCCGCAAAGUUGUAAAGACAACGUAUGGGGGCUGACGCCUGCCCAAUGCUGGAAGGUUAAGAGGAGUGGUUAGUCGUAAGGCGAAGCUGCGAAUCGAAGCCCCAGUGAAUGGCGGCCGUAACUAUGAAUUAUAUUAGGACGGCGGAUGUCGCAAGACAGACGCGAGUGUCGUAGUUACGUAAAUAAACUUGGCUAAAUGCUGGAAAAUCCGGAUAGUAUCCGAAGCUACUCGCUCAAAUUGAUGAGCAGUGACAAUGCUUUCGGUGCGGACAAUCAGCAGGAAAGACAGAUAAUGAGCAAUUUUGUAGAUCGAAUUCCAACGGAUAUCGGAUAUUAUUUGGCGGGUUUUGCGGAUGGUGAAGGUAGCUUCAACAUCUCGUUCAGACCCAGGCCCGAUUUUACGAUUCCGUGGAAGAUAUCCUUAUGUUUUAAUGUUUCCCAGCGAGACAAGGUAAUCUUGGCUUUGUUCAAGCGCCACCUUGGCUGUGGAACGUUGAGAGAUCGUGGUGAUGGUGUUUGGUACUUUCAGGUUGAUAACCUGAAUGCGAUCAAUCAAAAUGUCAUUCCAUUCUUUGACCGAUUCAGAUUUUUAUCGGCGAAGAAGAAACGCGAUUUCGCAAAAUUUAAGCAAAUUGGAGAAUUGGUCACGACCGGACAGCAUUUAACGCUGGAUGGAGUAAGACAGAUACUCUCUAUACGGAAGGAUAUGAAUGACGGCGGAAAACGUCGCUAUUCCGAUCAACAAAUACUAAGUUCAUUAAUUGAAUCCCCAGAGACUACACGCCAAGCACGGUCAAUCGAUCGUGAUGAUAUAGUCCGAACUGCACAGCGAUGUGUAGAGUCUGGCGGAAACGCCCAGGCCCAUCCAGUGGAUGAGUAACAAAUUGAACGGUCCUAAGGUAGCGAAAUUCCUUGUCGGGUAAGUUCCGACCUGCACGAAUGGCGUAACGAUCUGAAAGCUGUCUUAACGAGGGACACAGCGAACUUGUAGUACCGGUGAAGAUGCCGGUUUCCCGCAUCUAGACGGAAAGACCCCGUGCACCUUGACUACAACUUGAUAGUGAUUUCGGGCAAGUAAUGCGCAGCAUAGGUGGGAGGCUUUGAUGUCAGGCUUUUGGGCUUGGCGGA
rnacentral:rRNA from 1 species